GCUGUUCUUGGCGUGGGGUGUGCUUUCAAUACAUGACUGUUUACCUUAGCCAUACUCAAGUCCAUUCCAAUUUUCUUGACUUGUAAGGAAGUAAGUAAGAGUGUCUUUUGUCUAUUGCUUAAGUUCUGGGGAAGGGAGCAAGAACAAGAGGCUCUGGGGGUUAAUGGAAGGGUUAGAGAACAGAUGGAAUGGGAAGGAAAAGGAGGCCCUUUAAAAAACUAGUUUUCAAAAGACCGCAGUUACUGCUUCUGGCUCAUUUUUCCAGCCUUCCCUUUGGGAGGGUUUCUUUUACAAAGGCCCUGAUUCCCCUUAAACUCUGACAGAAUGUGCUCCUUCUGGGUGGUGGGGUGGGAAUGUCAACGUGGGCUGGUGACAAUGCAGCUGGUAGUGAAGUUACAAUAAUAAGAGCAGAAUGUAUGCGGGCUUAACCGCCCCUGAUCUUGCUGAGGAGCAAACAUUUGCUCCUCGAGGUGAGGUAGCACAGUGCCUCUGCCACUCGUUAGACGGAGAGCCUGGCAGACAUGUACCAAACUCAAAACAGGUCUCACUCCAUUUCAUUUCAGUUCAUUUGAAGUUAAUAAAAAAGACUGGUCAGGGUGCACAGGCUUGCAUCUGAGUGAACACAUACACCACAUUUUGAAAAAAAUAUGCUAGGCCUAAGCUCUCCCUUGUGCUCAAGGAUGUGAUUUUAAGGUCAAAUAUAUUGGUGAAAAUUCCACGCACAUUACGAUCCUGAUUGUUGUUUCAAUGUUUCAGUUCCAAGAGAGAGCUAGAAGCAGCACAGGGCAGAAGAGACAGAGACAGCUCAAAUCAAAUGCCAAAACUUUAGGCAAAAGAAGACAAUUUAUCAGGAUCAGAGUGCUGGCAAGUUUACUUUCUUUACUGUUCUCUUCACUUUUCCUUGGUCUACAGUCAUUUGGGGGUUGGUUCUUCCAAACAUAAAAUUGAACUCUUUAUUCUAAGGAAUUGGCUUUAAAAAUGGGGGUUGGGGGGAAUAAGUGGCAGUAAGUGAAAAACUUUGUGGGAUAUAUUUUGAGAAGAUACUUAAAAAGAAGGCAUUUGACCUGCCAUAAAAGUAAGGGGAAAAUUUUCUAUCUGCCAAGCAUAACUUGAUGAGGUUAACAUAGAAAAUACUGAGAUGGAAAAAUGAGAUUGCAGUUGAGUGAGGUCUGUAGUGUGCUGUGGUAAACCUCUCAGCAAGCAGCAAUAAGUGAAUGAGGCUUGAGGAAGGACAUAGAGCCCUGGUUUUAUUGUGUUUGUGGCUCUUUUAUAGUUUAAUUAAUUGAUAUGUAAGUGUGGGGGAAGGGUGGCUGUUAAAGGCAAGGUGGCAGGACUACCGCAUAAUAUGCUGGGUUCUGUUGCAAAUGAAAAUAUGAAGCCCUUGUUCAAAAAAUACAAAUUUCAAGACAGCAACAGCAAAGCAUUGAAUCAGUACUGAAUCACAAGUGAUUAAGACUUAGGGCCUUUCUGAGUCUGGGGCUCAAGCAACUGCACCCGUGAAGUCAGCCUUGCUAGGUGGUCAUGUCCCUUCCCCACAUACACUGUAUACUUACUAUUAGCUCUGUCUCCCAGGAAUUUUGUGAAAGUUAGUUGACAGAGAAUGACAAAUACUUGAAAGAGACUCAAGGAAAGCUAAGACAUCUCUCUGUCUCUCUCUCUUUCUCUCUCUCACACGUACCAAGGUGUUUUCUAAUACACAUAAUUCUCUAAAUUAGUAAAAUAAAGAUUUUGGUCGGAAUCGAGGGAAAACUAAAUGUCUUGUGACCAUCUGAAAUUAUUACGUUGUCCACUGUAAAGUUAUUAAUGUAACAUUGCUGAAAAACCUCCCAGCUCUAAAAUUCUGUGAUUCCAGUAUCCAUAAUCAAAAGAAUAACUCAUAUAUGGGUGUUAGGGAGAUCUCUUAAAGGACCCCUGGUUGUGCAUUGAUUAAGCACUCAGCUGCUAACCAAAAGGUUGAAGGUUUGAACACACUAGGCACUCCUCCGGAGAAAGACGUGGCAGUCUGCUCCCAUAAAGAUUAGGGCCUAGGAAACCCUAUGAGGAAGUUCUACUGUGUCCUGUAGGGUCACUGUGAGUCGGAAUUGACUUAAAGGCACACAACAGAGAGAUAUUUAAAAUACUAGUAUCAGAUAAAGUUUUUCAACUUAAAGUUAUGGCUUGCAUAUUCGUAACUUGGAAAAUGAAGGCAAAGUGAGUUAGCUUUAUAAGCAAUUUUUAGAACUAAUAGAGAUUUCUUAAAAUUGAGUAAAAGAAAAUGAAAGAAAUGUUAGCGUUUAUUUUUUUCAACUUGUCUUCUUAUAGCCUGGGUUCAAUUCAACAAGUAUAUAAAAUCUAAGUUCUCAAUCAUUCAAGGCAUGGCUUAAUUUUUGUUGUCAGUAGUAUGAAGAGUUUUCAGGACGGUGAUCAAACAAGAGUUCAUGAACUGAUAUCAAAGUGGGAGAGACUUUAGCUGGUUGUUUAGAAGCACGUAGCCCACAAAACAAUAAAAUACCAUGAUGAGGUUACAGGCAACUUAUAGAAUCUUCAUUCUGUAAGAUUUCAAUAUUCGCUUAUCUAAAGGGGUGGCCAACAUCUUUUCUUACGUAUCUUUCAGAGCUAUGAUUUCAACUGAAGGUCUUACAAGGAUAUAAAAAGAUAUUGUAAUGUGUGCAUGUCAUUUUAGACCCACUUAUAUAAAUAGUAUAUUUUAAGAAGUGAUUAUGUUUAUACAAAAUGAUAUUUUGUUAAUACUACUAUUACUGUAAAAGCUAGAAAUGCUACUUUAAGUUUACAGCAUCUGGUCUGUCUUUGGCUGCUCUUUGAAGACUAUCUCAAAAGCAGUUCACUAGGAUUACCCCCACUGCCUUUGGUAGAAUGGCUUCAUUCAUUCGUUCUAGUUAAUUUUCUAACUAGACAAGUCUUUUUUAACUUCAGUGUCUUACCUUGUCUUAGAUUAAAAUGGUUCCUUAGAAACGAAAUGAGCUCAUGAGAUUUCUCACUAAGAAUCACUAGAUCACGCUUCUACCCAGGAGGAAUAAGACUUCCAAAUGCUUACACUUUUUUUCUGUUCUUUAUUUACAAAAUAAAUAAAUCUCUUUUUCUGACAACAAAAGGAAUGUGCUCAUUGUAAGAAAUUUGCACAUUAUAGAAAGAAAUAGGUCAUAUAGAAAAGGGAAAUUCUCUAUAAUCCCACUUCCUUGAGGUAAUAAUGGUGAAGUUUGGUGAAACAUUUAAAUUUUACGUGUUUAUAUCAAUAAAGCAAUAAGAUACAGAACUCUGGAGUACUGAGUUCAGAAUCGAUAUUUCUGCUGAUUGAAUACCUUACAUGACAACUUCUUUGAUGACCACCGGUCUUUUAAAGCUGGAGACCUGAUUUUAUACGGUUAACCCUGCUCACCAAGGGCUUUUUCAACCCUCUGCAUAGGCAUCUGUCUUGGAAUUUGUCCUUUUAUCACUUCUCUGUGACUUCCUAAUAUUAACCAUAGACUUUGUUACAACUAAUUUUUUGUUUACUGAUUCUAUAGAGUUGUGAUUGGGAUCAAUAAAGUAUAUGAGAUAAUUCCUUCGAAGUCUAGUGUCUUCAUUUGAUGUCUUUUGUGUUGGAAAAUCUUGGGCCUUACAUAACAUAUUAUUAUUAUUAUUAGCAAAAAAUUAUUCAUGACCAAGUCUGAUAAUAUAUUGAAUUAUCACAUUGGAUCCCUGGGGUCAAAGAUGAGGCAAUAGCUGUCAGGUAUUGAGAUCGAUUUUCUUGUAUGUUGUGUCAACUGACCUCUUAGGUAUUCCAGUGGAAGAAUGUAAAAAUAAAAUAAAAACGUUUCAGCAGUGACAGUAUCAAUUGGUAUAUUGUCUGUCUUGACAAUUUUUAAGACAUUGUCUUUAAAAUCUUAGAUCGGUAGCUCAUUAUUGAAACAUCAGUCUUGUUUUAUUUUAGAACUUAUAAUUGCUUUGACACUCAUAAAGUGGUUGUCAGAUGUAAGGUGAUUAUUAUUAUUAUGCGUGGAUUGUUUAGCAAUUAUUCAGUCUCCUCUUGAGGCUGAUUUUCGUCAUGAUUAGUUUGUGCUUCUGGGAAGAAAUGAGUUGGGAAUGUAUUUUUGUGCUUUUCUGGAGGGCUUUCCUUUUACUCCCGGUCUUCUAAAAGGAUGCAUAUCACUUCAGAACAGUCAGCACCCUCCCUCUCUUUGUGGCCUUAUGUUUGUCUUAAUCUCCCCCCUCCCUGUCUUUUGUUUUGUUUUGUUUUUUCUCUGUAAAAGGAGAGGAAAGAGACUCUCCAGUCAGUCCUGUCCUCCCCUCCCCUGCCCUGGAUGGUGGGCUGAGAAAUGAGGAAGAACCUUAAAUUCUGCCCUUUGUUAGGCUCUCUGAUGACUAAAACUGUUGGAACAUUGCUAAAAUGAGUUUUGGAAACGUUCUCUGCUCUCCCUGUUUGCCAUUUCCACAGAUGAGUGAGGAUUGGCUUUACUGCCAAACAAGGCUGAUAUUGAGCCUCAAAUUUUGACCCAUUUUUCACCAAGUUUGUCUUAAUAUAGAAAUUGCAAGAUUUAGUAGUAAAGUGAUUAUUGUUCUUACAGCAAACAUCAACUCUAUGCAUGCUGAAUUCCAUCUCUUGGGUUGAAGACAAAGCAGUUUGUGCAUGAGGCCCACAUCCCUUUGGGACCAACGAGAAAGCUCGGGGCUAUCUGUUUUGACCUGAAACAGUUAUCCAGCAAAUGCAAUUACUUUCUUCAGAGUGUGGGGCAUUUCAAAACUAAACAGUUUAGUAAUAAUGGAAUAAUUUAAAAAAAACAAAAACUGCAAAUCUAUUUUUGAAAUGAAUAAAACAAAUGUUGGGAAACUGACAGUUUUCAUGUAAAGCCGAUGAGUGGUAAUUUUAGGUGGAUUGGUGGAGGAAAAUGAGGGUGAGAAACUCUUUCACAAGUUUCUUGGUCUGAAGUUUAUGUCAGUACUGCUGUCUUUUCACAAGUGAUUAAAUAGUUGAAUGCAACUCUGUGAUCAGCAAUUUAACAAUGAUGAAUUCAGAGGAAGUAUGAAGGGAACUUAGACUAUCAAAGAUUUGUGGGAAUUAAAAUACAUGUGUAUGUAUAUAUUAUGAAGUACCUUUUGGUUUUGUUUUAUGUUUCACAAAUUCAGAUAGAAGUUUUAUUUUUAAUGAAAACCUGAAUGCUAUUGCCAGGCUAUAUUAGUGAAAAUGAUCAGAUCAUCUUCAAAACAUUGAAAUAACUUUUACAUUUCUGAUGCUUGGUUCUCUUCAUUAAAAUAAAUCGCUUCUCCAGUCAGCCACAAUACUGGAAUGGCAACAUCAGAAUAUAUAGUAGAGAUGCAAAAUUACUUCUAAUUAAUGAUGACAUUUUAUUUUACUAACAUAAGCUUUAGUGUUUUAAUCUAGGAGAGGAAAGAAGGUUAAAUAUUACGAGAGAAAUUCCCUGGAGCAGUUUACAAACAUUUAGGGGAAAAUGUGGAAAACAAAAAUGAAGCAUAGGGACUGGUAACAGCGUUCAAUGUUUCUCUUGUUCGCAUGACAAGGGAGCAUUCAGAAUACACCUCUGUGAUUUGUCGCAUCUGGUAGAAGUGCUGCAGUAGUAGCUAACGGGACAAUCUCUGGCUUUAGUGAAGAAAUGAGUAGACAAGACAGUGUAAAGAGAAAACCUUGGUUGGCAAUCAGAGCCACAUUCCCCAGCCCCUACAGCAACUUCUAGCUUUGUAUGACACCAGAAACAUAGAGGUCAAAAGUCUGAGAGAACUUUUGUUAUGAAGGAUGCGUGUUUUGUAAUUUUAAAAUUUCGGAUGACAUAUCCCAGUGCUUUGGGUACACGGGUUUCAGCUAUCAUGCCGUCUUAAUAAUCUAAUAGCAGCAAUGCACUAGCACCUAAUGGGAUGGAUUUUAAAAUGCAAUCUAUACACAGAUUUCACUGCCCACUUAAACAAAAGUGGAUGUAUUUUUUUUCCUUAGAUAGCGUUUCCCACUAUUCUUGUUUAGGGGCUUUCUCAUCCUUCCUUUCCUCACUCUCAUAUGAGGGUGUUUUCAAAUUUUGUAUAUAUGCCCAGGGAUCUUUUGGCAUUUAAACAAGUUUCUUACCAUUUAAAAAAGAAAAAAAUCUGUUUCUGAGUUAUAGAAGUUAUUUCGCUCCUCUGCUGUAUAGUAUAUAAACUACUUUAGCUGCAGGACAAUCAAAUGUAGCUGCUUUUGGAGACAGCAGAACUGAAGCAGGAGUCAGUCUCCACACUUUCCCAUGACUCACUGAGGUACUUAAGGCCUUAACACUCGUGCAGAGUUUAACCCUCUCUCUCCAGAGAGUGACAGUGUUUCCAUGUAAUCUAUACUUCCGCUUUCAAAUGUUGAGAGCAGACAAAACCACCGACAUCGUAAGCUGCUUUUGAUUUGAAAGAAAUCCUUAAGUAAUAGGGAAUUCUGGCUCAUGUAUCUCAUUUUGGCUCAUGUGUGUGUUUCUCAGAAGGAAUGUCCAUAAGGAAAAUGGCAGCAUUGGCUGGUCUAGUAAUAGGGCAGUAUUUCGCUUCUGUGCUAAUAAAAUUUUCUGGCUUCGCUUUUCAUAGUUCUAAAGACGUGUUCUUUGUGCCUACAGCAUGUAAAAUGAAGAAGAGUUAGGAAAAUAUUAUCUCUGUAUUUUAAGAUGAAAGAAAAACUGAUGAAAAUAUAUCAAAAAAUUUACUUUUUUUUCCUUCUAAAAUUAGAAAAUAAUAAUAUUUCAUUUGAGGCCAGGAUCAAAUAUCAUUUUAGAAGGGAUGAAAAUCUAAACUGAAGUAGAGAGAAAAUCUGUUGAAAGACCAUUUGGGUAAGAUGAAUAUAUUCAAAUCUAGAAGUCCAGUUACUUGCAUUCCAGGGGUAAUAAAGAAAUUGGCUAGUUUUAUUGAAACAUAUUGGUUAUGCAUUUUGAGGCCCCAAGAGUAUUACAGAAGUGUGUAAUAUUGGAGAAGAGCCCAUGGUCAAUCAGUAUUUUUAAAAGAGAAGAUUAUGAGAUGGAGACCACAGACCUGUAGUUUAACUUCUUUCCUGGAAAAAAAAAAUUUUUUUUUUUUUUUUUUAAAU